AGAGUUUGAUCAUGGCUCAGGAUGAACGCUGGCGGCGUGCUUAACACAUGCAAGUCGAACGAUGAAGCCCAGCUUGCUGGGUGGAUUAGUGGCGAACGGGUGAGUAACACGUGAGUAACCUGCCCCCGACUCUGGGAUAAGCCUGGGAAACUGGGUCUAAUACCGGAUAUGACCUCCUACCGCAUGGUGGGUGGUGGAAAGAUUUAUCGGUGGGGGAUGGACUCGCGGCCUAUCAGCUUGUUGGUGAGGUAAUGGCUCACCAAGGCGACGACGGGCAGCCGGCCUGAGAGGGUGACCGGCCACACUGGGACUGAGACACGGCCCAGACUCCUACGGGAGGCAGCAGUGGGGAAUAUUGCACAAUGGGCGAAAGCCUGAUGCAGCGACGCCGCGUGAGGGAUGACGGCCUUCGGGUUGUAAACCUCUUUCAGUAGGGAAGAAGCGAAAGUGACGGUACCUGCAGAAGAAGCGCCGGCUAACUACGUGCCAGCAGCCGCGGUAAUA
rnacentral:rRNA from 1 species